UUACAUAGAAUGUUAUUAGACCUUAAUGCUAUUCCAAUAUUACAAAAAACUAUCAAAUCAUCACAAAAAAUAGUGCAAUUUCUAAGCUACCAAUUAUGUUAUUUUAGAAACUCAAACAAGUUUGAUGAGCAUAAUCAGCAUAGAAUAAAAAUGAAAUAAGAUGAAAUUCAGGGAGCUAAUCAAUCUAGAAAAAUGAAAUGAAAAGCCAAAAACUCCUUGAUUCAAGCAAAUCCAAACAAGAAUACGGCAUAAAAAAUCGAAUUCAGUGGGUAAAAAUCCAAUUACUCCAUAAUUCUUACCUGAAAAUCAUCAAUUAGAUGCAAACACAUACAUGACACGGGGAGAAGACAGGAUGGGAAGGAAGGUGAAAGACCAAUGGUGGAAGAUAUUCCUAAACUAGCACAAACAGCAAACAAUGAUGAAGAUGUCCCUAAAUGAGGAAGGCAAACGACAAGGAAUGCAAACGAUAAGGAUGUCCGUGAAUGAGAAAAUGGACGUUGUUACAUCUAAGAUGGGAAGGACAUCGGUGGCAGAGAGAUCUUGACUAUGAUUUCACGGUCGAUAGAGGGGAUCUUCAAUUGACUAUUCUAAAAAAAAAAAAAAAAAAACUUCUCUGGCUCAGUAUUUCUCGCGAGCCUUAGCUUGGGGCGACCUCAACUCCAUCGGCACAUUAAGUCGUUUCGAAAGGGAGAGCAUUCUAUGGCAGGCCAAGAUAAUGUCAAGCAUUUUGAAGCCUGCUCCAUUUCCAAGUCAGUUUUUUACCUCUCCUUUUUAUUCUGCAGAAGGCGGAGACAAAGAUUCAUAUGCUGAUUUGACUGAAAAUUGGCACUAUUGCUUCAUUCACAAGACACGUCUUAAGAAUUGUUCUUGACUUGAUAGAAUUCCAGGUGGACUUGAUUCCAAACCAAAUGCUGGAACCAGGCCAUUUUCCAUCAACCCUUGGUAUCACAGCCAAGCCGCAUUUGUAGUUACCCCUCAUAAAGACUGAAACACUCAUCCGUAUUGGUUUCAUCGAUCUCACCCUCAUUUGUCUCAUCCCUCUAUCUCUCACAGAAUAUCACAGAUCUCUCGCCUACUCAAAUCUCCCUCACUCUCGUCUUUCACCUUCUCAAUCUCUCCCUCCAACAUGAUCUCUAUACACGACCAGCUCUCAAGACUCAAACUAAUCUCCCACCUUUGAUUUCUCCGCUUGGAGGACCUCUCAACGUCUCUCAAGUCUCAAACUAAUAAUCUCCAACCUUAGAUUUCUUCGCUCGGUUGACCUCUCAAUGUCUCUCAAGUCUCAACAACUCCGUCUCCGUCGAUCCAUGUUGUAAUUAUCCAUCUCUGUCUCUUCUCCUCCUCUUUCACUUUGACCGUUGCACCUUUUCGCCACGUCCUCAGAUCUGCUCCUCGAACCUGCUGUUAUCUCAAAUCUGUUUGUUGAACCCUAGUGUUAACUCAUAUCUUCUCCAAUUUUUUUUUUUUUGAGCAAACAUAUCUUCUCUAUUUUGAUUGUCCUGUUAUUUUAUAGGAUUAUUGGCUUCUUAUUUUUGUUGGGAUUUGCUAUGCAAUUUUUAUUUCUAUUUUAAGAAGUACAUGUUGAUUUUA